rnacentral:rRNA from 1 species
GACGAACGCUGGCGGCGUGCUUAACACAUGCAAGUCGAACGGAAAGGCCCUGCUUGCAGGGUGCUCGAGUGGCGAACGGGUGAGUAACACGUGGGUGAUCUGCCCCUUAUUUUGGGAUAAGCCUGGGAAACUGGGUCUAAUACUGGAUAGGACCAUGCUGUAGGUGGUGUGGUGGAAAGAUUAGUUUCGGUAAGGGAUGAGCUCGCGGCCUAUCAGCUUGUUGGUGGGGUAAUGGCCUACCAAGGCGUCGACGGGUAGCCGGCCUGAGAGGGUGGACGGCCACAUUGGGACUGAGAGACGGCCCAGACUCCUACGGGAGGCAGCAGUGGGGAAUAUUGCACAAUGGGCGCAAGCCUGAUGCAGCGACGCCGCGUGGGGGAUGACGGCCUUCGGGUUGUAAACUCCUUUCAGCCAUGACGAAGCCCUUGUGGUGACGGUAGUGGUAGAAGAAGCACCGGCUAACUACGUG